GACGAUCAGCCACACUGGGACUGAGACACGGCCCAGACUCCUACGGGAGGCAGCAGUAGGGAAUCUUGCGCAAUGGGGGCAACCCUGACGCAGCAACGCCGCGUGUGGGAUGACGGCUUUCGGGUUGUAAACCACUUUCAGUGAUGACGAAAAUGACGGUAAUCACAGAAGAAGGUCCGGCCAACUACGUGCCAGCAGCCGCGGUAACACGUAGGGACCGAGCGUUGUCCGGAUUUAUUGGGCGUAAAGAGCUCGUAGGCGGUUCUGUAAGUCGGAUGUGAAAACUCAGGGCUCAACCCUGAGACGCCAUCUGAUACUGCAGUGACUAGAGUCCGGUAGAGGAAGAUGGAAUUCCUGGUGUAGCGGUGGAAUGCGCAGAUAUCAGGAGGAACACCAACGGCGAAGGCAGUCUUCUGGGCCGGUACUGACGCUGAGGAGCGAAAGCAUGGGGAGCAAACAGGAUUAGAUACCCUGGUAGUCCAUGCCGUAAACGUUGGGCACUAGGUGUGGGGUCUUCUAACGGAUUCCGUGCCGUAGCUAACGCAUUAAGUGCCCCGCCUGGGGAGUACGG
rnacentral:rRNA from 1 species